CCAAUGUUGAGAGUAUGAACUAUCUGGAUCUAGUAGUUUGUAUGAUGUUUGAUAUAUGUUGAAUUUCAUUGUUUGUACAAACUUUUCGCUUGAGAAGUUCCCCCAGAAUGCUUCUGUAGGUUCACUGCAGCACUUGAGGGUGCCUUGGUACACAGUCUGGGAACUGCUGCAUGAAUAUCUUGUGAUUGCAAGAUGAGUGCUUCUGCUCCAAGCAUUCAUCUCUGCAUAGCAAUACUCAUGCAGGAAGAAGGUACAGGCUUUCUUAUGGUGUCUUUUGUUUAGUUUCAAAUUUAUUGAGAUACAACUUCAUACAAUAAAAUUCACCUAUUUUGGUUACUAAUUAAAUGAGUUUUGACCAAUGCCUACAUCUGUAUAAGCAUCACUACAAUCAAGAGACAACAUUUUCUUCACUCCAAAAUGUUCCUUGAACUUCUUUGUAGUCAGUGCCCCUCCAUGACUCCUAGCAGCCACCAAUCUAAUUUCAUCGACUGUAGAUUAAAUUUAGUUCUUCUAUGUAUCUUCAUAGAAAGGGAACAUAUAGUAUGGAUUCUGAGGUCCUGUAUAAUGGUUUUGAGGUUCACACAUGUUGCUGCAUGUAUCAACAGUUAACUCCUUUUUAUUGCUGAGUAAUACUCCACUGUUUGAAUGUACCACAACUGUUUAACCACUCACCUGCUGCUAGAUAUUUGAGUUAUUUCCAGUUUGGGGCUGUUACAGGUUGAGUUGCUGUGAACACUGAGGAUAAAGUCUUUGUGUGCACUUAUCUUUUCAUUUAUCUUGAAUUAGCUUUGUUUGUCUCUACUUAUCUUUUCAUUUAUCUUGAAUUAGCUCUUUCUUUGUCUCCCUUCUUUUUAGGAGAGCAAAAUGAUUUCCAGAAGUCCCUCCAGCAGACUUUCUUUGGACAAUCCUGAAUCAUCUUCACAUUUCCAAUUAUUAGGAAGGAUGUGGGGUCACAUUGGAGCAAUCACUUCACAUCCUUUGGGACUGGAGGCUGGGGGUCCCAAGGGGAGUGAGUUUUCUUCUCAAAUAAAAUUACAGUCUUGCAAAUACAAGAAAAAAGGAGGAAUAACUUCUAGGUGUGCAGGCAUAUAUAUUUGCAUUUGGAAACAUGCAUCCUGUUUGCGCUCUAUUUCAGAAUACAGUUUUCAAUAGAUGUUGAAACCACUUACAUUUUAAUUUUCUGAAGUGGUUUCUUUGAUGGAUAUUUUAUUAUAGGAAGAAACAUAGGGCAUCCAAGUCAAUGGGGCCAGAGACAAAAAUGUGAAACAGGUAAAGUCUGGCUUUAGCUUUCUCUUUCAAGGUGACCUCCCUCUUCCCUGAGAGCCUUGCCAUGGCCCAGUACUCACUGCCAAGGUGCCCAGGGGUUGUUAGCUUCUACCUCCUGAAGGGUAUUAGUGUUGCCUUCAUAAAUCUCCAAGGCUUUUGAGUUUGCAUGUGCCAUUCUCUUUCACCAUACUUGUUUGUAGAGUUUUGACUCCAUGUGAGGCUCUAGAGACUAGAGACUUAGAGAAAAUGGAAGAUAGUGAACAGGGUCUGUGUUGCUGUGGAUUUGUUCUGAGAGGAGGAGAGCGGUGGGGGCAAGAGGCACAAAGUCACCACACAGACCCCGGGAGUCGGGAGUUGAAUAAAAGCAGGCCAGAGGCAAGCA
ensembl:lncRNA